UAGGGAAUCUUCGGCAAUGGGGGCAACCCUGACCGAGCAACGCCGCGUGAGUGAAGAAGGUUUUCGGAUCGUAAAGCUCUGUUGUAAGAGAAGAACGUGUGUGAGAGUGGAAAGUUCACACAGUGACGGUAACUUACCAGAAAGGGACGGCUAACUACGUGCCAGCAGCCGCGGUAAUACGUAGGUCCCGGGCGUUGUCCGGAUUUAUUGGGCGUAAAGCGAGCGCAGGCGGUUUAAUAAGUCUGAAGUUAAAGGCAGUGGCUUAACCAUUGUUCGCUUUGGAAACUGUUAAACUUGAGUGCAGAAGGGGAGAGUGGAAUUCCAUGUGUAGCGGUGAAAUGCGUAGAUAUAUGGAGGAACACCGGUGGCGAAAGCGGCUCUCUGGUCUGUAACUGACGCUGAGGCUCGAAAGCGUGGGGAGCAAACAGG
rnacentral:rRNA from 1 species